rnacentral:rRNA from 1 species
GACGAACGCUGGCGGCGUGCUUAACACAUGCAAGUCGAACGGAAAGGCCCUGCUUUUGUGGGGUGCUCGAGUGGCGAACGGGUGAGUAACACGUGAGUAACCUGCCCUUGACUUUGGGAUAACUUCAGGAAACUGGGGCUAAUACCGGAUAGGAGCUCCUGCUGCAUGGUGGGGGUUGGAAAGUUUCGGCGGUUGGGGAUGGACUCGCGGCUUAUCAGCUUGUUGGUGGGGUAGUGGCUUACCAAGGCUUUGACGGGUAGCCGGCCUGAGAGGGUGACCGGCCACAUUGGGACUGGGAUACGGCCCAGACUCCUACGGGGGGCAGCAGUGGGAAAUAUUGCACAAUGGGCGGAAGCCUGAUGCAGCAACGCCGGGUGCGGGAUGACGGCCUUCGGGUUGUAAACCGCUUUCGCCUGUGACGAAGCGUGAGUGACGGUAAUGGGUAAAGAAGCACCGGCUACCUACGU